rnacentral:rRNA from 1 species
AACGCGAAGAACCUUACCUGGUCUUGACAUCCUGGGAACCCUGAAGAGAUUUAGGGGUGCCGCAAGGAGCCCAGAGACAGGUGCUGCAUGGCUGUCGUCAGCUCGUGUCGUGAGAUGUUGGGUUAAGUCCCGCAACGAGCGCAACCCUUGUCCUUAGUUGCCAGCAUUAAGUUGGGCACUCUAAGGAGACCGCCGGUGACAAACCGGAGGAAGGUGGGGAUGACGUCAAGUCAUCAUGGCCUUUAUGACCAGGGCUACACACGUGCUACAAUGGUAGAUACAGAGGGAAGCCAACGCGCGAGCGGGAGCCAAUCCCAGAAAAUCUAUCGUAGUCCGGAUUGGAGUCUGCAACUCGACUCCAUGAAGUCGGAAUCGCUAGUAAUGGCGUAUCAGAUCGACGCCGUGAAUACGUUCCCGGGCCUUGUACACACCGACUGAC